UUCCAGACUCCUACGGGAGGCAGCAGUGGGGGAUAUUGCACAAUGGGGGAAACCCUGAUGCAGCGACGCCGCGUGGGCGAAGAAGUAUUUCGGUAUGUAAAGCCCUCUCAGCAGGGAAGAAGAAAUGACGGUACCCUGAAAACAAGCCACGGCUAACUACGUGCCAGCAGCCGCGGUAAUACGUAGGUGGCAAGCGUUGUCCGGAUUUACUGGGUGUAAAGGGCGUGCAGCCGGGCUGACAAGUCAGAUGUGAAAUCCCGCGGCUCAACCGCGGAACUGCAUUUGAAACUGUCAGUCUUGAGUACCGGAGAGGUCAUCGGAAUUCCUUGUGUAGCGGUGAAAUGCGUAGAUAUAAGGAAGAACACCAGUGGCGAAGGCGGAUGACUGGACGGCAACUGACGGUGAGGCGCGAAAGCGUGGGGAGCAAACAGGAUUAGAUACCCGAGUA
rnacentral:rRNA from 1 species